rnacentral:rRNA from 1 species
CCAAUAGCGUAUAUUAAAGUUGUUGCAGUUAAAAAGCUCGUAGUUGAAUUUCGGGAUCAGUAGGUUGGUCGUGCCACUGGUAUGUACUGGCCUCACUGGUUCCUCCUUCUUGUAGAACCGUAAUGCCAUUAAGUUGGUGUUGCGGGGAAACAGGACUGUUACUUUGAAAAAAUUAGAGUGUUUAAAGCAGGCUAACGCUUGAAUACAUUAGCAUGGAAUAAUGAAAUAGGACGAUCGAUCCUAUUUUGUUGGUUUCUAGGAUUGACGUAAUGAUUAAUAGGGAUAGUUGGGGGCAUUAGUAUUCAAUUGUCAGAGGUGAAAUUCUUGGAUUUAUUGAAGACUGACUACUGCGAAAGCAUUUGCCAAGGAUGUUUUCAUUAAUCAAGAACGAAAGUUAGGGGAUCGAAGACGAUCAGAUACCGUCGUAGUCUUAACCAUAAACUAUGCCGACUAGGGAUCGGAUGAUGUUAAUUUUUUAAUGACUCAUUCGGCGCCUUACG